rnacentral:rRNA from 1 species
AGAGUUUGAUCCUGGCUCAGGAUAACGCUGGCGGCGUGCCUAACACAUGCAAGUCGAACGAUCCCGCAAGGGAGAGUGGCGGAAGGGUGAGUAACACGUGGGAAUCUACCUCCUCGCAGGGAACAACCUCUCGAAAGAGAGGCUAAUACCCAAAAGGGUCAGAAAUGAUCAGAGUCGAAAGGCGUGAGGAGAGGAGCCCGCGGCCCAUCAGCUAGUUGGUGAGGUAAUGGCUUACCAAGGCUACGACGGGUAGGGGAUCUGAGAGGAUGUCCCCCACACUGGAACUGAAACACGGUCCAGACGCCUACGGGUGGCAGCAGUGAGGAAUAUUGGACAAUGGGCGAAAGCCCGAUCCAGCAACGCCGCGUGGAGGAUGAAGGCCUUCGGGUCGUAAACUUCUUUAGAGGGAGACGAGAAAGGACGGUAUCCCUAGAAUAAGCGACGGCAAACUACGUG